UACGUAGGGUGCAAGCGUUAAUCGGAAUUACUGGGCGUAAAGCGUGCGCAGGCGGUUAUGGAAGACAGAUGUGAAAUCCCCGGGCUCAACCUGGGAACUGCAUUUGUGACUGCAUAGCUGGAGUACGGUAGAGGGGGAUGGAAUUCCGCGUGUAGCAGUGAAAUGCGUAGAUAUGCGGAGGAACACCGAUGGCGAAGGCAAUCCCCUGGACCUGUACUGACGCUCAUGCACGAAAGCGUGGGGAGCAAACAGG
rnacentral:rRNA from 1 species